UACGGAGGGUGCGAGCGUUGUCCGGAAUCACUGGGCGUAAAGGGCGCGUAGGUGGCGCGGGCAGUCAACGGUGAAAGUUCGGGGCUCAACCCUGAAUCGGCCGUCGAUACUCCCGGGCUGGAGCACUGUAGAGGCUAAUGGAAUUCCGGGUGUAGCGGUGGAAUGCGUAGAGAUCCGGAAGAACACCGGUGGCGAAGGCGGCCUGCUGGGACAUGGCUGACGCUGAGGCGCGACAGCGUGGGGAGCAAACAGG
rnacentral:rRNA from 1 species